AUUCUCCCCAUGCCGGGAAGGGUGAGAACCUUCGACUAAGGUUCGAGUCGAGCGAAAGCGAGACAACGUUGCCGCAGGCAACGGCCCGAAGGGUGAGGAGC
rnacentral:sRNA from 1 species